UGGGGAAUAUUGGACAAUGGGGGCAACCCUGAUCCAGCCAUGCCGCGUGUGUGAAGAAGGCCUUUUGGUUGUAAAGCACUUUAAGCAGUGAAGAAGACUCCAUGGUUAAUACCCAUGGACGAUGACAUUAGCUGCAGAAUAAGCACCGGCUAACUCUGUGCCAGCAGCCGCGGUAAUACAGAGGGUGCAAGCGUUAAUCGGAAUUACUGGGCGUAAAGCGAGCGUAGGUGGCUUGAUAAGUCAGAUGUGAAAGCCCCGGGCUUAACCUGGGAACGGCAUCUGAUACUGUUAGGCUAGAGUAGGUGAGAGUAAGGUAGAAUUCCAGGUGUAGCGGUGAAAUGCGUAGAGAUCUGGAGGAAUACCGAUGGCGAAGGCAGCCUUCUGGCAUCAUACUGACACUGAGGUUCGAAAGCGUGGGUAGCAAACA
rnacentral:rRNA from 1 species